CGAAUACGUGAAUAAAGAGAGCUGUCCGUCGACAGUCCAGAUACCUAUAACACUGUCAUGGAAUUGCUCUCUUUGUAUAAUAUUCG
ncrna:Drosophila ananassae microRNA dan-mir-281 precursor (dan-mir-281-1)